rnacentral:misc_RNA from 1 species
CUGAAGCUACUCGGCGGUGCUCCUCGCAGGUUGAUUCAAUAUGCCCAAAAAGAAUUCUUCAAAGGCAACUUUGCAAGCAGAAGAAUGUACUGUUGUAGAACCAGAAAAACCCACUUCAACACUGAAGAAACCCAGCAAUGAGAUUGAUGAAAUCUUCUCUGGAAAGAAGAGGAAAAAACCUGAGAAACAAAAGAAUGAUAAGGCAAAUGAAACUGAAUCUGAUAAACCAAAAUCAUUGAAGAAGAAAAAGAAGAAGACUAAAGAAGAUAAAGAGGGAAGGUUUACAGACCCACCUUCUAGACAUCGAAAGAAAACCAAGGAUGGACUCAAUAUCUAUACUGAAGAGGAAUUAGGUAUUAACCACUCCAAUGCUGGAGGUACACCACUUUGCCCAUUUGAUUGUGAUUGUUGCUUUUGAUGAUUUUCAUCAAUGGAGCAGCUU